CCUUGAUGUUUUGCUUUCCAUAGUUGAGAAUUGUACACCCUUUAGCUUUUGGUCAGCAGCAACAAGGGCUGUACUAGGCAUGACCAAUGUGUGAGGAAUGGAAACCGAAGGGCCUGGAGACUUGUCGCGGUAAUCUUCAGACACCCUUUGUAAAUUUUCAUCGACAGCCAUAGAUGGAGGAGGCAGUAACGGAGCUGUUGGAAUCCUUGUAGGAGGAGUUUCAGGAAUAACUUCAUCUGUCUGCUCAGUCGAGAGUAGGGAAUAUCUGUACAAUACAUCGCGUAAUGUCCAAGUUUGCCACAGGAAAAACAGAAAUGGGAGAGCCGUUCGUACCGAAAGUCCAGCCAAAAAGAAUCUAUGCGCCAAGCUUUCCGGAGCGUAGUUUGAAGUGCUGGAAGAUUAAUGGAAGGAUCGGACAAAAUUCUUGCAACUAAAGUUAAACGGCAUGCCUCGACAGCAUCAGCAGGUGGUGAAUCAUCCCAAUCUUCGAUAAUUUUUUCUGUAGUGAGACGACUAAGACUAGAACAGAGAGCCUCUAGACGUGAAGAUGUAGCAGAAUCCAUCUUACGGAAAGUAUCAUCGAAUUUAGCAGAGAAACAGCAACAUAGUUCUCGACAAGUACAGAGGAUGGCUAAGAAGAACAAUUCAGUGCCAUGCAAAACAAUCGCCAAUUGAAGAAGGCAUGCAUGAAGCUAACCCAUGGCUAUCGGCAUCAAAAUCGGCUGAGGCAACAUAAUCCUGAGUCCAAACGAAGAUGGGAGAUGAAGCCGAUGAAGGAAAAAGAAAAAGCGCCAGUCAAGCAUUGAAGGCCGGCACCAAGGAGGAAAACGCAUGAAGAACAAACAUGGGAAGACUGUGGA